rnacentral:rRNA from 1 species
CCUACGGUGGGCUGCAGUGGGGAAUAUUGGGCAAUGGACGCAAGUCUGACCCAGCAACGCCGCGUGAAGGAAGAAGGCUUUCGGGUUGUAAACUUCUGUUAUGGGGGAAGAGCAGAAGACGGUACCCCUUGUAUAAGCCACGGCUAACUACGUGCCAGCAGCCCCGGUAAUACGGAGGUGGCAAGCGUUGUCCGGAUUUACGGGGUGUAAAGAGCGUGCAGCCGGAGAGACAAGUCAGAUGUGAAAUCCACGGGCUCAACCCGUGACCUGCAUUUGAAACUGUUUCCCGUGAGGGUCGUAGAGGUGAUCGGAAUUCCCUGUGUAGCGGUGAAAUGCGUAGAUAUAAGGAAGAACACCAGUGGCGAAGGCGGAUUACUGGACGAUAACUGACGGUGAGGCGCGAAAGCGUGGGGAGCAAACAGGAUUAGAUACCCUAGUAGUC